CCUACGGGUGGCAGCAGUGAGGAAUAUUGGUCAAUGGACGAGAGUCUGAACCAGCCAAGUAGCGUGAAGGAUGACUGCCCUAUGGGUUGUAAACUUCUUUUAUAUGGGAAUAAAAUGUUCCACGUGUGGGAUUUUGUAUGUACCAUAUAAAUAAGGAUCGGCUAACUCCGUGCCAGCAGCCGCGGUAAUACGGAGGAUCCGAGCGUUAUCCGGAUUUAUUGGGUUUAAAGGGAGCGUAGGUGGAUUGUUAAGUCAGUUGUGAAAGUUUGCGGCUCAACCGUAAAAUUGCAGUUGAAACUGGCAGUCUUGAGUACAGUAGAGGUGGGCGGAAGUCGUGGUGUAGCGGUGAAAUGCUUAGAUAUCACGAAGAACUCCGAUGGCGAAGGCAGUUCACUGGACUGCAACUGACACUGAGGCUCGAAAGUGUGGGUAUCAAACAGGAUUAGAUACCCUUGUAGUC
rnacentral:rRNA from 1 species